GUGGGGGUAUUUCAGUUGGUCUAGAAUCAUAGAUUGCAACUAAGCAUUGCAUCGCUUGAAUAAAGCAUCUAUCUAUUUGUCGUGGGUUCAAAUCCCACUCUCCACU
rnacentral:tRNA from 1 species